rnacentral:rRNA from 1 species
CCUACGGGAGGCAGCAGUGAGGAAUAUUGGUCAAUGGACGAGAGUCUGAACCAGCCAAGUAGCGUGAAGGAUGACUGCCCUAUGGGUUGUAAACUUCUUUUAUAUGGGAAUAAAAUGUUCCACGUGUGGGAUUUUGUAUGUACCAUAUGAAUAAGGAUCGGCUAACUCCGUUCCAGCAGCCGCGGUAAUACGGAGGAUCCGAGCGUUAUCCGGAUUUAUUGGGGUUAAAGGGAGGGGAGGUGGAUUGUUAAGUCAGCGGUCAAAGUCCGGGGCUCAACCCCGGCCCGCCGUUGAAACUGGCAGUCUUGAGUUGAAGAGAAGUAUGCGGAAUGCGCGGUGUAGCGGUGAAAUGCAUAGAUAUCGCGCAGAACUCCGAUUGCGAAGGCAGCAUGCCGGCUCCACACUGACGCUGAGGCACGAAAGCGUGGGUAUCGAACAGGAUUAGAUACCCCAGUAGUC